GACAGAGGAUGCAAGCGUUAUCCGGAAUGAUUGGGCGUAAAGCGUCUGUAGGUGGCUUUUCAAGUCCGCCGUCAAAUCCCAGGGCUCAACCCUGGACAGGCGGUGGAAACUACCAAGCUGGAGUACGGUAGGGGCAGAGGGAAUUUCCGGUGGAGCGGUGAAAUGCGUAGAGAUUGGGAAGAACACCAGCGGCGAAAGCGUGCUACUGGGUCUGCACUGACACUGAGGGACGAAAGCUAGGGGAGCGAAAGGG
rnacentral:rRNA from 1 species